rnacentral:rRNA from 1 species
GUGCCAGCCGCCGCUGUAAUACGAAGGGUGCAAGCGUUAAUCGGAAUUACUGGGCGUAAAGCGCACGUAGGCGGUUUGUUAAGUCAGAUGUGAAAUCCCCGGGCUCAACCUGGGAACUGCAUCUGAUACUGGCAAGCUUGAGUCUCGUAGAGGGGGGUAGAAUUCCAGGCGUAGCGGUGAAAUGCGUAGAGAUCUGGAGGAAUACCGGUGGCGAAGGCGGCCCCCUGGACAAAGACUGACGCUCAGGUGCGAAAGCGUGGGGAGCAAACAGGAUUAGAUACCCGCGUAGUCC